UCAGACGAUGCGUCAUGCAUAUCAAUAAGCGGAGGAAAAGAAACUAACAAGGAUUCCCCUAGUAGCGGCGAGUGAAGCGGGAAGAGCUCAAAUUUGAAAUCUUAAAGGGUUUCCCUUUACGAAUUGUAGUUUAAAGAAGUGUUUUCUGUUGAGGUUUUGGUAAAAGUUCUUUGGAAUAGGACAUCAUAGAGGGUGAGAAUCCCGUAUUUGACCUUUACUUUCAACUUUGUGAUACACUUUCAAAGAGUCGGAUUGUUUGGGAAUGCAGUCCAAAAUGGGUGGUAAAUUUCAUCUAAAGCUAAAUAUUGGCGAGAGACCGAUAGCGAACAAGUACCGUGGGGGAAAGAUGAAAAGAACUUUGAAAAGAGAGUUAAACAGUACGUGAAAUUGUCAAAAGGGAAGCGUUUGGACACCAGUGUUGUUUUUCUGAAAAUCAAUUAAAGAACUGUUUAUGCUAAGUUGUUUAGACUUUAUCAGCUAACUGUUUAGUUUUGAGCUUUUCUUUAAUGCACUUUUCAGUUAACAAGUCAACAUCAAUUUCUUUUGCUGUAAAAAAGCUUGAGGAAGGUGGCUUGAGAUUCGUCUUAAGUGUUUAUAGCCUCUUGCCUAUGCAGUCGGAGAGAUUGAGGUCUGCAGCGUAGAUCCUUCGGGGCUAAAUGCAUUUGUGCUAAGUUAUAGCAUUUCAUAGACAACUUGUUGACUAUGAUUUGUCUUGUAGCUUACUCGCUUAUGUUAUUUUACCUACGCUUAGGAUGUUGAAUCUGUGCGAGACUAC
rnacentral:rRNA from 1 species